CAGCCGCCACGGGAAUACGUAGGGUGCGAGCGUUAAUCGGAAUUACUGGGCGUAAAGCGUGCGCAGGUGGUUCGUUAAGACAGAUGUGAAAUCCCCGGGCUUAACCUGGGAACUGCAUUUGUGACUGGCGAGCUAGAGUAUGGCAGAGGGGGGUAGAAUUCCACGUGUAGCAGUGAAAUGCGUAGAGAUGUGGAGGAAUACCGAUGGCGAAGGCAGCCCCCUGGGCCAAUACUGACGCUCAUGCACGAAAGCGUGGGGAGCAAACAGGAUUAGAUACCCCGGUAGUCCUGUCUCUUAUACA
rnacentral:rRNA from 1 species